rnacentral:rRNA from 1 species
GUGGAUUAGAUACCCUAGUAGUCCACGCCGUAAACGAUGAGCACUAGGUGUAGCGGGUAUUGACCCCUGCUGUGCCGUAGCUAACGCAUUAAGUGCUCCGCCUGGGGAGUACGGCCGCAAGGCUAAAACUCAAAGGAAUUGACGGGGGCCCGCACAAGCGGUGGAGCAUGUGGUUCAAUUCGACGCAACGCGAAGAACCUUACCUGGAUUUGACAUCCUUUGACAGCUCCGGAAACGGGGUCUUCCCUGCUUGCAGGGACAGAGUGACAGGUGCUGCACGGCCGUCGCCAGCU